GUUUGCAAGUUGCCAAGAAAUUCUGCAAGUAGGCACUGCACUACUGAUAUUCUCAUCGUCAUUAUUCUUUAAUCCGACCUUCUUGCCUAGAGAUGCUAGCCCCAGUGAUCAUUGCUGAGAAUUUACCCGGAAUACCUUACAAGGAAUCUGUAUGAAAAGGAAGGUAAACCUUUAUCCCCUACUUAGCACCCAAAAAAAACAAGAAGUAUUCUUAUUCCUCUCCUAGUGGAAGUAUAUGCUCCUUUUGCAACUUGGAGAACCCGAACAUGAAGUAAUCACUUGGUUCCUCUAUAAUGGAAGUUUCUGUAGCUCAGUUUAAGAUGUGUGCUCAAGUAUCAUUACACAAACUUGAGGAAUAUAUUUUCCAGCCUAGUGGUGAGAUAUUACUAUCACCAAAAGAAUGAUCCCUUUACAAAUUGGGAUUCGGACAAACUUUACACAAAAGAAGGAGAUGCCAUAUUUUAUCACCAAUAGAGAUUUUUGCUUUAUAUGUGUUGUUUAUUUGGGAAUCUUUUUUUUUUUGAACUUACGAAAAUGGAGAAUCUCCAUGGUCAGGGGUUUUCCAUUGGUUAACGAGAGAAUAUACAGACCCUACAAUUGUGUUAAGCUUUGCUUUUUAUCAACUGAUGCUGUAAAUCAUCUUCACAUCUGAGACAGAGUAAGUGGAAGUAUGCAAUAUUAACAGCAGAGAACUGUUUUCUCGUGUGUUGGUUUAUCAGUUAACUGCUAUUAUUCUUGUUUAUUUUCUGCAUGAAAUUAGUAGCAAUCCACUGCAUAAAAC